rnacentral:tRNA from 1 species
GCUCGGUUAGCUCAGUUGGUAGCGCAUCAGACUUUCAAUCUGAGGGUCAGGGAUUCAAACCCCCCAACGGGAG